rnacentral:rRNA from 1 species
CGCGGCCUAUCAGCUUGUUGGUGAGGUAAAGGCUCACCAAGGCAUUGACGGGUAGCUGGUCUGAGAGGACGAUCAGCCACACUGGGACUGAGACACGGCCCAGACUCCUGCGGGAGGCAGCAGUGGGGAACCUUGCGCAAUGGGCGAAAGCCUGACGCAGCAACGCCGCGUGGGGGAUGAAGGCUCUCGGGUUGUAAACCCCUUUCAGCAGGGACGAAAUUGACGGUACCUGUAGAAGAAGCCCCGGCCAACUACGUGCCAGCAGCCGCGGUAACACGUAGGGGGCGAGCGUUGUCCGGAAUUAUUGGGCGUAAAGGGCUCGUAGGCGGUUCGGUAAGUCAGAUGUGAAAGGUUGGGGCUCAACCCUAAGACUGCAUUUGAUACUGCCGUGACUAGAGUCCGGUAGAGGAGUGUGGAAUUCCUGGUGUAGCGGUGAAAUGCGCAGAUAUCAGGAGGAACACCGACGGCGAAGGCAGCACUCUGGGCCGGUACUGACGCUGAGGAGCGAAAGCGUGGGUAGCAAACAGGAUUAGAUACCCUGGUAGUCCACGCCGUAAACGUUGGGCACUAGGUGUGGGACCUUAUCAACGGGUUCCGUGCCGUAGCUAACGCAUUAAGUGCCCCGCCUGGGGAGUACGG